ACUUCUGGCUGGGUGUACCGACUGCAUUUUCCUGAUAACUUAAGCUGCUGGCUGGUGAGACAAUCAAAUUCUCCCCACUGAGUGACUUCAUCUACAAGACACAGGAGUAACCACCAGCGAGAGAAGUUCAGUUGUGAAAGGGAAGCAAAGGAAGAUGCUGGGUCCUUAGCGAGGGUGCACAGCCCCUUCCUCCAUUGUUAGCUCUCCAUUCCGUUUUGCCUGAUGCAAGGCACACUUUGUUCCAUAUAUUUAGAUUCCAUAGUUUUCUGAUAAUGGGGACUGAGUAUUUUAAAUACACUUCAGGGGUGGGCGGGGUGGCUCAUGCGUGUAAUCCCGGCACUUUGGGAGGCCAAGGUGGGCGAUUACCUGAGGUCAGGAGUUCGAGACCAGCUUGGCCAACAUGGUGAAACUCUGUCUCUACUAAAAAUACAAAAAUUGGCUGGAUGUGGUGGCUCACACCUGUAGUCCCACCUCCUCGGGAGGCUGAGGCAGGAGAAUUGCUUGAACCCAGGAGGCGGAGGCUGCAGUGAGCCGAGAUCGUGCCACUGCACUCCAGCCAGGGUGACAGAGUGAGACACUGUCUCAAUAAAUACAUAUUUAAAAAUUAAUAAAAAUAAAAAUGAACACACUUUUUAGGUGACUUCUGCAUAUUUAAGUUUCAAACUACUUUUAGAGCAAGCCCAGGAGAGUUUCCUGUUCUUUUGAACAUGAAGAAAGAACCAAGGGCUACAGAAAGCCUCCUUACAGAACCCGAGUCUCAUUAGCUUGUUCUCAUUCAACAAACGCUUAUCCAUCCCUCGUUGCAUGCAAGGCGCUCUGCCCAGCCAAGUAUGUGACUGCAGGCUGACGGGUGGUGAUCGGGAAAGCUGCCCGAAUGAGUAAGAUUCUGACGCUUGUUUGGAGUAGUUUAUCCUCUGUCUACCACCUCCAGAUCACCACAUCUCCAUGACUGGACCCAAAUGAAGUUAUUUCAUAUUUCCAAAAAUAGUUUCAGUUAUUAACACCUUCAGGAGAAUUCAGGGGCUCAUGGUAGAAAUGAAUGAAUCAUGUACAUAACUGAGAAGUAUUUAUACAGAAAGAGUUUUGGUUUUCUGGAAAGGGUAAUUUCAGAUAUUUAGAAGUAAGAGCCAUUACAAUGUUGGUUUUACAAGCCACUGGGCUUUAUAGCAACAUCAGAGUCCUGGUGGGUCAGGAGAAAAGGAGACAGCACUCGUCAGUAGCAGACAAGAGCAACUUAGCAUUCCAUAUAAUCUUGGAGAGAGCUGGUCUAAGUGCCUCAGGUAAGUGUUUUAACAACUGGAUCCUCUCUGGACUCCACACACCCGCUUCUUGAGCAGUGACGUAAGAUGGGGGAGAAGACAGAAUGAGCUGGCUGUCUCACUCCCUCUCUAGCUCCUGUCCCAGCUUGAGAUGAAACUCUAUGGAAGAGUAAAGAAGAUCUAUAGCCAGUUGCCUUGGAAUCUCUGCUGAGUACUUCAUCAAGCACCUGCUGUUUGAAGAGGGAAUAAGCCAGAAUAAAAUUCUCGCUCUUCAGACUUUGCAUUAGGACAGACCAACUGAUUCCACUUGACCUGUGACUCAUACCAAGGAACUUGCUCAACCAGUCCUGUUGACCCCUCACCCAGAAACUGACUCAGUGCAUGAAGACAGUUUCAAUACUCCUAUGAUUUUUAUCCCCAACCAAUCAGCAGCACCUAUUCCCUAGCCCCCUGCCCUCCAAAUUUUCUUUAAAAACCCUAGCUUCGGAACUCUUGGAGAGGCAGGUUUGAGAAACAUCUCCUGUCCUUCCAUUUGGC
rnacentral:lncRNA from 10 species